CACGGGUUCAAACUAAUAAACAGAUUUUAAAUAAUUGUAUGCUCGGGAAGCGAUCUCAAUUUUUAACGGGGAGUUUCUUGUUAAAUCACAUUGGAAUACAUUUUUGUCUUGUUAUUGAUGAAGGAUGAAAUGCUUCCUGUAAAUUCUGUGUAUAAAUAUGCUUACAAAUUGAUUAUAUUUUAUCAAAUAAUUUUACGCGACUCUUAUAUAAGAUAUGUAACAAGAUGAAACUGAUAAUGAAACUU
rnacentral:lncRNA from 1 species